UACGUAGGGUCCGAGCGUUGUCCGGAAUUACUGGGCGUAAAGAGCUCGUAGGUGGUUUGUCGCGUUGUUCGUGAAAACUCACAACUCAAUUGUGGGCGUGCGGGCGAUACGGGCAGACUGGAGUACUGCAGGGGGAGACUGGAAUUCCUGGUGUAGCGGUGGAAUGCGCAGAUAUCAGGAGGAACACCGGUGGCGAAGGCGGGUCUCUGGGCAGUAACUGACGCUGAGGAGCGAAAGCGUGGGGAGCGAACAGG
rnacentral:rRNA from 1 species